rnacentral:rRNA from 1 species
UACGGAGGAUCCGAGCGUUAUCCGGAUUUAUUGGGCGUAAAGCGCGGGCAGGCGGCUGUUCACGUCGGACGUGAAAGCUCCCGGCUCAACCGGGAGAGGCCGUUCGAAACUGGGCAGCUAGAGGGCAGCAGAGGGGCGUGGAAUUCCGGGUGGAGUGGUGAAAUGCGUAGAGAUCCGGAGGAACACCAGAGGCGAAGGCGGCGCCCUGGGCUGCACCUGACGCUGAGCCGCGAAAGCCAGGGUAGCGAACGGGAUUAGAUACCCGGGUAGUCCCUGAG